rnacentral:misc_RNA from 1 species
CCGCAAUAGGGAUCGACGUGGAAAUCCCGGAACGGAGGCGCUCGCUUCGCUCGCGCCGAAAUGAGGAAUUGUAACAGAGAGCCCGACCCAAG